CAACCGCUCUACAAGGCGGCCACAGAAGCCCAGCAGAGAGCAGGGAUGCCUCAUGCACACUCACCAGCUCCAUUGUUAUAAGGUCAUCUUCAAGGACUGGUUUUGGACUUCCCCUGGAAAAGCCAGAAGGGAGGCGGAUUUUCUUCCAGCAUGGGGGAAUCUGAGCAUGACCACACGGAAACAAACACUAAGUAUUCUGGCCCCUUCCUUGCCAGAACCAGUUCCUCCUUGUAAUUAACCUUGCAAUUAACCAUUUAUCACGUACACAAAGAAAUACUGAAGUCAAAAGGACACUUCCAGCUUGUGUGAAUUCAAAUUGGGAGUUCACAGGCAGGCAAUCGGUCUUGCUGUCCUCCUCGAAGCUGAAGCACAGAACCACGCUCCGAUGUGCAGCCUUUUGCAGCUGCACCAGCCCCCUGUGUCAGCAGCUUGAACCUGCAUGUACCCCUUGCUGACUUGAGCACAGCCAGAGGACAGCUGCAAAGAGCCAAGGAUUUCCUCACUAAGAUAUGAUGGUACACAACAGCACACAGAUAUUUAAAGCUAUGCUGAAUUUUGGUUUGAGGCAGAGCCAACAUUUUUGUCUUCCUGUUAUAUUACAGUGUUAUAGGGCUUAAUAGAAGGAUCGUGUAGAAACUGCAAUGAUAAUGCCAUAUGAAAUUUAUCCUAUAAAUCAGUGGGGUAAUAAAUUUUAACCCAUAAAUGCAAAUAUGUUGCUGCUACAACAGCCUGAAUACUCUCGUGUAAAGUCUCAGAUGACAAAGUAGGAGGUAGAAGAAAAAAAAAGGAGGAAAAA